rnacentral:rRNA from 1 species
CCUACGGGAGGCAGCAGUGGGGAAUAUUGCACAAUGGGGGAAACCCUGAUGCAGCGACGCCGCGUGAUUGAGUGAGUAUUUCGGUAUGUAAAGCUCUAUCAGCAGGGAAGAAAAUGACGGUACCUGACUAAGAAGCCCCGGCUAACUACGUGCCAGCAGCCGCGGUAAUCCGUAGGGGGCAAGCGUUAGCCGGAUUUACUGGGUGUAAAGGGAGCGUAGACGGUUAAUCAAGUCAGAAGUGAAAACCCAGGGCUCAACCUUGGGACUGCUUUUGAAACUGAGUAGCUAGAGGGCAGGAGAGGAAAGUGGAAUUCCUAGUGUAGCGGUGAAAUGCGUAGAUAUUAGGAGGAACACCAGUGGCGAAGGCGGCUUACUGGACUGUAACUGACGUUGAGGCUCGAAAGCGUGGGGAGCAAACAGGAUUAGAUACCCGGGUAGUC